rnacentral:rRNA from 1 species
UACCAGCACCCCGAGUGGUCGGGACGAUUAUUGGGCCUAAAGCAUCCGUAGCCGGUCCUACAAGUCUUCCGUUAAAUCCACCUGCUUAACAGAUGGGCUGCGGAAGAUACUAUAGAGCUAGGAGGCGGGAGAGGCAAGCGGUACUUAGUGGGUAGGGGUAAAAUCCGUUGAUCCAUUGAAGACCACCAGUGGCGAAGGCGGCUUGCCAGAACGCACUCGACGGUGAGGGAUGAAAGC